rnacentral:snRNA from 1 species
AUCGCUUCUCGGCCUUUUGGCUAAGAUCAAGUGUAUCGUGUCAAACAUUGUAACUUUUUAAAUGUUUAAAAUCAUUUCUUAACAUUAAAAUAUACUUGAUCUUCAUAAAAUAUGGAUCUCUGGUCCUUUUGAGAAAUCAAAUUUUCAGCAACGCUGGAUCUGGGUUGUCACAGG